UGUAAGGGAUUUGGUCUUGUCGACAACUUACAGAUAUCAAUUCAGGAGUUUAGAAUAAAUCCAUUUUUGAUUUCUCGGGUGAUCUGGAAAAAUGAAACCAGCAACGCAUUCUGAGAGAGAAAAAUGCAUCUCUCAUGUGAAUUCAAGCAUCGAGCAAUGUGAGAAUUUAUGAGAAGCAGCACAAGGCUGGCGAGUAUACUUGCCUCCUUUUGGGAACUUGGCUAAGAUCCUCUGGCAUUUGUUUAUGAAACUCUUUGCUUCUCUCAUCCUCUUGUUUAUGAACAUAUACAAGGAAGAAUAGACAUAGCAUUACCUAUCUGGCAUUGAAAUAUAA